rnacentral:rRNA from 1 species
AUUGAACGCUGGCGGCAUGCUUUACGCAUGCAGGUCGAACGGUAACAGGGAGCUUGCUCCGCUGACGAGUGGCGAACGGGUGAGUAAUAUAUCGGAACGUACCCAAGAGUGGGGGAUAACGUAGCGAAAGUUACGCUAAUACCGCAUACGAUCCAAGGAUGAAAGCAGGGGACCGCAAGGCCUUGUGCUCCUGGAGCGGCCGAUAUCUGAUUAGCUAGUUGGUAGGGUAAAGGCCUACCAAGGCAUCGAUCAGUAGCUGGUCUGAGAGGACGACCAGCCACACUGGAACUGAGACACGGUCCAGACUCCUACGGGAGGCAGCAGUGGGGAAUUUUGGACAAUGGGGGCAACCCUGAUCCAGCAAUGCCGCGUGAGUGAAGAAGGCCUUCGGGUUGUAAAGCUCUUUUGUCCGGAAAGAAAAGCAUCCAGUUAAUACCUGGGUGUCCUGACGGUACCGGAAGAAUAAGCACCGGCUAACUUCGUGCCAGCCGCCGCGGUAAAAC